rnacentral:lncRNA from 1 species
CACCAACAUGUUGUAUUUACGAGGCCCACUUGGGGCCAUAUAAGCUGAUCUUGAAAGAACCGUGGGGCCUUGUCAUCCAUUUUACAGAUUGGAAGAGUGAGGCCCAGAGUGGGGGACUUGCUCAUGGCCAUACAAAUUGAAAUUGGAUGGGCAGAGACUUAACAUUACCUAAUUAAAUAAUCACAUUAAUGUGGACCCACUAAUAGACGGAUACCCCAGAGGAAGAGACAGAGCUGUCUUCAGAAGUGACACUUACACUGAGAUCUGAAAGAGAAGUAGAAGGUAAUCAGGCCAAAAGUCAGGAAGGGGUUUACAGAAAUGUUUAGGAAGAGGGAACAGCAGGUGCAAAAGCCCUGUGUUGGCAGAAGCCACAAGAAGAUCAGUGUGGCCGAAAGAAAAAAGGGAGGAUGUCACUGAUACAGAAGAUAGCCAGGACCUGAUUGUGCAUGUCUUUGCUCCCGUCAUGCAAUAAGGAGCGUCCGGGACCUCUGCUCUGCUUCUGUCAGCGAGAAGCUGGGAUGGUUCAGUGCCUUGCAAAGCGAGCUCAUCACAUCAGGCUGUUCACACUGCUCUGUAGAUAAGGCUCAGCUCAUCAGUCAAGAUGCCCUAAACGUUUCCUCAGAUCCCUG